GGGUAUAGCUCAGUUGGUAGAGUAGCGGUCUCCAAAACCGUUGGUCGAGGGUUCGAGCCCUUCUGCC
rnacentral:tRNA from 1 species